UAGCCGAGCCUGCUGGCGUGAAAGCCCCCGGGGCCUGGCACCCCCAAAACGACCCCCCCCACCUCUGCCCCUGCCCCCCCUUGCUAGGGUUACCCAGGGCUGUCUCUCUCUUUCUUCAUCCACCUUUCCUCAUUACCUAUGCUGGCGACCUAAAUUCAAAGUAUUUUCUAUGUAUGGUCUCUUUUUCUGUUUUGCUUUUCUACUGCAUGUCUAGGGGGGAGGGGCCAGCCUGUCCAGACCCUUAUCCAUUUGCGAACCUGCCAUAUGGAGGAGGCAUCUGAGGGGCUCAGAAAGAAAUUAGCGCAGCUCUGUAUCUGUACAGACUGCAUAACUUUUAAACUCCCGGGGCUCAAAUAAUAAUAUGGAGACACACGCACAGGUACAGGAAAUACAGCCAGUCCACAGCCUUUUCAGACUGCAGCUGACCGGAAGAAAGCAUUUCGUUCAUUCAUUCGGACAGCCUCGGUAGUACAGCCCUGAAACAGAAGUUGGGCUUUUAAAAAGAAAGAAAGAAAAAAAAAAGUCUACACUCGCUGAGAAGAGAUAAAUCGUUACACAGGAGGGAAUAAGAGAAUCGGAUUCAGCGUCUCUAAUGCAGGCAGGCAAAAGACAUGAAGACAGUGGAGAAAAGCAACACGAGACGAGAAGGAGAGCCAUCCUUUGGUACACUGUGAAACGUGAACCACAUAUGUAUGAAAGUCGCCUGAUGCAGACCUGAGGGGUUUAACUUCACUCUAUGGGCUGUAAUGCCUUUUCAACUUUGCACCGUGGAGAUGUGUGGCUACUUGAAUGAAUUCCAGUCUUCAGUGCCCUGUGGAUUGAAGUCAAAAAGAAAAACAAAGCUGUACAAAGACUGUCAGGCCUGACCCUUGGAGAAAGGCUUAAUGUUUUACUUAGCAGUAUGAUCUUUUUUUUUUUUUUCUCCAAUGUACCUCUUCCUGUGUGAAGGCUAGAAAGGACCCUGGAAGCCACAGGUGAGUUAAAGGGUUAAUGCCUUGAAGAGAGUCAUAAAAGUUCAAAGAUUCUUUCAAAACUUGCAUCUUGAGGUUGAUGGACACGUGCGGUAGCCAAUGGGAAGGGAAAGGCAGGCAUUACUUCAUCAUGCUCACUUGUCACUGGUUGACAAUCCCUGAGGGAUGGACAAGAAGGCUGGCAGUUAACCCUUCAGGGCCUACCAUGCCCUUUACAUAUCUUCUACUUUGGAAAGAUGAAGUACAAACUGAAGAGCUUCCAAAGUCCCCCACCUUCAGGUGCUAUCUUUGGGUCUCACCCCUGGAGAUGGGAUCUCUCCUAUCCAAGGGAUUCCCCCUGAACAGAUGUCCUAGAGUAAAGUUUUGAGCUUUUUAAAGACCAGGAAUCAGCUGACCUUGCUGAGAAGGAGGCCAGGGGAGAAGGUUGAUUUGCUUUUUGUGCUGUCAGAACACAGACCCAUGUUGGAGACAUUUCCAUUAAUCUUGUGAAGUGAUCAGUCACUGAAAGGAUUGAAUUGCAUUUCCUGCCCAAAGAUGUGGAGACGGAUGACCUUUGCAGCGGCCCUCAGACCCCAGGUUCACAGCUGGAGAGAGGAUGUGUCAGCAUUUGCCUUCCCGUCUCACCCAGCCCUUUGUUCAGAACCCAAACCCUUUGUGCACAGGCUGCUGCAGGGGAUUUUGUAGUU